rnacentral:lncRNA from 1 species
AAGGCUUAUGGUGUCCUCAUAUAUAUGGUUUGAGAGAUACUAGGAUUAUUGUAUAUUUGUGACCUCAUUCGAAAACGUUACUGGUUGUUUUAUGCCAUGCUUUGCUGUCGAGCAAUGAUAACACGAUCUCUCUGUUUCCCCUACCUCGCAUGAUAUUGUUCAGAUGACUGAACAAAUAUUCAGAAUUAGCAUUCCCCUACCUCGCAUGAUAUUGUUCAGAUGACUGAACAAAUAUUCAGAAUUAGCAGGUGCUGUGAAG